UCACAACUUACAAAUCUCUCUUCAUUCUUUCAAAAGCUUACAAACAAAAAUAAACAUAAACAUAAACCCUUGAUUUGUUUUCUUUGUUCCCUUUAUGUCUUUUAGCGAAUUGUAUUUUAAAAAUUCUUCAUGUCGUCAAUAUAUAUGGACUCUUCCUGUUCUUAAUUACUCUCUUCUUAUUCUUCCCAAAAGAUAAUUUGAUUUCUUUCACAAUUUUUAACUCUAUUGUAUGGAUUAGCUGUAGAUUAUUACGUUCUUCCACGCAAAGAGGAAGAUCUAAAGAUGUCAACAUCAUCAUAUAAUACAAGCGCUGUUCCUUCAUCAUCCUCGACUCAGCCGUUCUUCAUCACCGGCUCCAGCGCCGGAGAUAACGCCUUUGACCGGAAAGAUACUUUUAUGUCAAUGGUUCAACAACCUAACUCCUCGGCUCCACAACCCAAGAAACGAAGAAACCAACCGGGAAACCCAAACCCUGAUGCGGAAGUGGUAGCGUUGUCUCCAACAACACUAAUGGCUACAAACAGAUUCAUAUGCGAUGUAUGCAAGAAAGGGUUUCAAAGAGAACAAAAUCUUCAGCUUCACCGAAGAGGACACAAUCUCCCAUGGAAGCUCAAACAGAAGUCAACCAAAGAAGUGAAGAGGAAAGUGUAUAUUUGUCCGGAACCCACGUGCGUCCACCAUGACCCCGCACGUGCUCUCGGAGACCUCACCGGAGUCAAGAAGCAUUACUAUCGUAAACACGGAGAAAAGAAGUGGAAAUGCGACAAAUGUUCUAAGCGUUAUGCAGUUCAAUCGGAUUGGAAAGCUCACUCUAAGACUUGUGGUACUAAAGAGUAUCGAUGUGACUGUGGUACCAUCUUCUCUAGACGGGAUAGUUACAUUACACACAGGGCUUUCUGUGAUGCAUUGAUACAAGAAACUGUUCGAAACCCUACCGUGAGCUUCACGUCAAUGACAGCUGCUAGCAGUGGCGCCGGCUUCCGUGGAUUUCAUGGGAAACUCGAGGGUGGCAACGCUCUCUCCCACCAACAUUUGAGUGACCAUCCUAACUCCGGAUUUUCGUCUUUCGGGGGUUACAAUCUAAACAUUGCAUCUUCUGAAAAUAGCAGAGAGUUUGCUCCGCAAACUUCAAACCCUAACUUCUUAAUCCAAUGCUCAUCGAGCCAAGGAAUGCUGCCUGCACCCAACAACAACAACAACGAUCAGAGUUUCAUGAACCAACAAGGUCUGAUCCAGUUUGAUCCAGUCAACAACAUAAACCUAAAGAGUAGCACCACCAACAACAGCUUCUUUAACCUCGGAUUCUUUCAAGAAAAUACCAAGAACUCUGAGACGGCUAUUCCUUCUCUAUAUAGCACGGACUCUCUUGUUCAUCACCGGGAAGAAAGCUUGAACGCGGGUUCUAACGUGUCAGCCACGGCACUGCUGCAGAAAGCUACUCAGUUGGGUUCAAUCACAAGCAACGAUCCUUCUGCUUUGUUCAGAAGCUUAGCUUCUUCGUCUAACUCGUCAAGCGUGGUUGUUAAUGACUUUGGAGGAGGGCAAAUUAUGGGCAACGAUAAUAACGGUAACCUUCAAGGUCUAAUGAACUCGCUAGUGGCCGUAAAUGGCGGUGGUGCCGGCGGAUCCGGUGGCAAUAUCUUCGACGUUGACUUUGGGAACAAUAACGUAAACAUGAGCGGCUCGGACAACUUAACUUUAGAUUUUCUUGGAGUUGGAGGAAUGGUGAGAAAUGUAAAUCGCGGAGGGGCUGGUCGCGGCCGUGUUCGUGGAGACGUUUCUUUGAAUGGUGAACUAAAGUUUCCGGAGUAAAAUCAUCCGUUUUGACUGCAAAAGUUAACUCCGGGGAUGAAACUGGUGAAGACAUUGCAUUUUUACACAUUUAUAAGAGGCUAACUAUGAUGGCCGAUGGUUAAAUUUCAUAAAGCUGAAGAUGCUUCAAGAAUCUAGAAGCGUGGCUCUCCAUUCUUGUUGACUAUUUUGGUGGCUCAGUUUUUCUGUCAGCGGCUUAGUCUGCGUCGUGGAUGAAGGGUGUAGCUGAAGGCGGCAGCGGCUGUUUAUGUGUAUAUUGAUAUAUACUUUAUACGAAGAUAUGUGUAUAUACAUGCUAUUAUAUCUAAAAAGUUGUAUAAAUUUAUGUUUUUUUAAACCAACAUGUAUAUCGACUGUGUAAAUUAUCGUUGCACCUGUUUUGUUUUACAAAUAUGAUUAAAAUAAUUCUUUUAACUAA